rnacentral:lncRNA from 1 species
GCCCAGGGCAGGGUUCACAGAGCUAUUUUCAGUUCUCUUGCAGGAUCUCCUUCCCAGCCUUCAGAAAUUGCCGGUCUGGGAGUUGGGGGCAAGGAGAAGAUCCUGAAUUAGACCUUUACGAGAAGCACAGUUUUGUCUUCAGUUUCCUCUCCCCCCACCCGGAAUGGCCUGAGCCGAAGCCAGCUCCCUCCGAGAAGUCAUUACCGCCUGACUUGCGUUUGAUAUUUAGACACCUUGGUCACAACAUCUUGCAUUCUCUCGGGAUGCUGAUUUCUAACUGCUCUUUGGCCUUUCCUGCAUUGGUCCUCCUCAGGCAGGGGAUCCCUGCUCUUCUAUAUUAGUGAGAAAACCAAGGCUCAGAGAAACUGUGGAUUUUCUAAGGAUGCUGGCUCCCCGUCCCCUGUCCACCAUGAGUCAAAGCAAUGUGAGUCCCUCACCAGAUGCAACUGCCCAGUCUUGGACUUUCCAGUGACCAGAAUCAUGAGCCAAAUAAACCUCUUUUCUUUAUGAA